GCUUCCAUAUUCAUGUUUUCAUCCAAACAAGAUGAAAGGUAUCCAGAUAGUGGUGCUAAUAACCCUAGUGAUGACCGCGAUGUCCGACCCAGGUGAUUCAACCCACACUUGCACCAGUCAUGCAGGAAAAUGCGUGUGGAGCCAAAGCUGUCCCAAAUAUUACCAUUAUGAUCAAUAUCACUUGUGUUUUGCUGGACAAACCUGUUGUCUACCUGAUGUGAGUGGUUAAUACUCGAAUAAGGACAGUUAUAGUGUAAACAAAUCACGAGGAAUUAUUAUUCAAUUAAUCAAAUAAAACA